CCUACGGGUGACAGCAGUGAGGAAUAUUGGUCAAUGGGCGCAAGCCUGAACCAGCAAAGUCGCGUGAGGGAUGACGGUCCUAUGGAUUGUAAACUUCUUUUGUAGGGGAGCAAGGCCCGCCACGUGUGGCGGGAAGGAGAGUACCCGAAGACAAGGCAUCGGCUAACUCAGUGCCAGCAGCCGCGGUAAUACGGAGGAUGCGAGGGUUAUCCGGAGUGACUGGGCGUAAAGGGAGCGUAGGUGGUAUGGCAAGUUAGUAGCGUAACUCCAAGGCUCAACCUUGGAACUACUACUAAAACUGUUGGACUUGAGUGCAGGAGGGGCAGCCGGAAUUCCUAGUGUAGCGGUGGAAUGCGUAGAUAUUAGGAGGAACACCAGUGGCGAAGGCGGGUUGCUAGACUGUAACUGACACUGAGGCACGAAAGCGUGGGGAGCAAACAGGAUUAGAUACCCUAGUAGUC
rnacentral:rRNA from 1 species